GACCAACUUGGAGGAACACAACUUACUAUUUUCUUUUGAUAAACAAAAAUGAUUUGAUAAUUGAAACUGAGACCUAAAAGGAAACAUUACUAUAUAUUUAAUGCUAUAUUAACAUAUAUGUAACAGUCUUAAUAACGUGAUGUCAUAAAUUUACAUAGGUGAUUUAGGCGCACUUUGGGCGUGACAUCGACAAGAGUCUCGCCCGAGCUAUGAGUUUAUAUUUUUGGGACUAGUACUCAAACUAAAUGCACCUAAAAUUAAAAUAGGACUAUUUGAAUUUCGGCUAAUAUUAUGACUAAAUAAUUGAUAUCUUAUUAGUUUUAUUUAGUACUGACAUAAGCAUAUCAUAACUGUCUGAGUACACUAUGAAAAUUUUCACCUUUUUCAGUAGUGUUAUCUCAAAUCAAAUCAAAAUUCACCUUUUAUGUGAAUUUGCUAUCACAUUAAAUUCAAA
rnacentral:lncRNA from 1 species